UAAGGAAUAUUGGACAAUGGGCGCAAGCCUGAUCCAGCCAUCCCGCGUGGAGGAUGACGGCCCUAUGGGUUGUAAACUCCUUUUAUAGAGGACGAACCGUACUAUUUUAAUAGUGCCUGACGGUACUCUACGAAUAAGCACCGGCUAAUUCCGUGCCAGCAGCCGCGGUAAUACGGAAGGUGCAAGCGUUAUCCGGAAUCACUGGGUUUAAAGGGUGCGUAGGCGGGCUGAUAAGUCAGAAGUGAAAGCUCAUCGCUUAACGAUGGAAUUGCUUUUGAUACUGUUGGUCUUGAAUUAGGUUGAGGUUAGCGGAAUGAGUCAUGUAGCGGUGAAAUGCAUAGAUAUGACUUAGAACACCAAUUGCGAAGGCAGCUGGCUAGACCUAUAUUGACGCUGAGGCACGAAAGCGUGGGGAGCGAACAGGAUUAGAUACCCCCGUAGUCC
rnacentral:rRNA from 1 species